rnacentral:rRNA from 1 species
AUUGAACGCUGGCGGCAGGCCUAACACAUGCAAGUCGAACGAGUGGCGGACGGGUGAGUAAUGUCGGGGAAACUGACUGAUGGAGGGGGAUAAAUACUGGAAACGGUAGCUAAUACCGCAUACCAUCGGAUGUGCCCAUAUGGGAUUAGCUUGGAGGUGGGGUAAAGGCUCACCUAGGCGACGAUCCCUAGCUGGUCUGAGAGGAGGACCAGCCACACUGUAACUGAGAAACGGUCCAGACUCCGACGGGAGGCAGCAGUGGGGAAUAUUGCACAAUGGGCGCAAGCCUGAUGCAGCCAUGCCUCGUGUAUGAAGAAGGCCUUCGGGUUGUAAAGUACUUUCAGCGGGGAGGCGUUACCCGCAGAAGAAGCACCGGCUAACUCCGUGCCAGCAGCCGCGGUAAUAC